GACGAACGCUGGCGGCGUGCUUAACACAUGCAAGUCGAACGGAAAGGCCUGCUUUCCCUUGUGGAUUGCGGGUACUCGAGUGGCGAACGGGUGAGUAACACGUGAGUGAUCUGCCCCCAACUUGGGUAUAAGCCUGGGAGACUGGGUCUAAUUCCCGAUAGGACUGCAGGGUGGUGCCUGUGGUGGAAAACGAUUUUCUAGUGGUUGGGGAUGAGCUCGCGGCCUAUCAGCUUGUUGGUGGGGUAAUGGCCUACCAAGGCGGCGACGGGUAGCCGGCCUGAGGGGGUGGACGGCCACAUUGGGACUGAGAUACGGCCCAGACUCCUACGGGAGGCAGCAGUGGGGAAUAUUGCACAAUGGGCGGAAGCCUGAUGCAGCGACGCCGCGUGGGGGAUGACGGCCUUCGGGUGGUAAACUCCUUUCGACCGCGAGGAAGCCACAUGGUUGGAAGGGUGGCGACGGUAGUGGUAGAAGAAGCACCGGCUAACUACGUG
rnacentral:rRNA from 1 species